ACAUGCAAGUCGAACGCUUUUUCUUUCACCGGAGCUUGCUCCACCGAAAGAAAAAGAGUGGCGAACGGGUGAGUAACACGUGGGUAACCUGCCCAUCAGAAGGGGAUAACACUUGGAAACAGGUGCUAAUACCGUAUAACACUAUUUUCCGCAUGGAAGAAAGUUGAAAGGCGCUUUUGCGUCACUGAUGGAUGGACCCGCGGUGCAUUAGCUAGUUGGUGAGGUAACGGCUCACCAAGGCAACGAUGCAUAGCCGACCUGAGAGGGUGAUCGGCCACACUGGGACUGAGACACGGCCCAGACUCCUACGGGAGGCAGCAGUAGGGAAUCUUCGGCAAUGGACGAAAGUCUGACCGAGCAACGCCGCGUGAGUGAAGAAGGUUUUCGGAUCGUAAAACUCUGUUGUUAGAGAAGAACAAGGAUGAGAGUAAAAUGUUCAUCCCUUGACGGUAUCUAACCAGAAAGCCACGGCUAACUACGUGCCAGCA
rnacentral:rRNA from 1 species